rnacentral:rRNA from 1 species
AUGGCUCAGGAUUAACGCUGGCGGCAUGCCUAAUACAUGCAAGUCGAAUGGGUAGCUUGCUAUCCAUGGCGAACGGGUGAGUAACACGUAGGUAACCUGUACUUCAAAGUCGAGGAUAACCUUUGGAAACGAAGGAUAAUACUGGAUAGGUCGUCAAAAAUCACAUGAUUAACGAUUAAAGAUUAUUAUGUCACUUGAUGAGGGGCCUGCGGCGCAUUAGCUAGUUGGUGAGGUAAAGGCCCACCAAGGCGAUGAUGCGUAGCCGGACUGAGAGGUUGAACGGCCACAAUGGGACUGAGAACGGCCCAUACUCCUACGGGAGGCAGCAGUAGGGAAUUUUCGGCAAUGAGCGCAAGCCCUGACCGAGCAAUGCCGCGUGAAAGAAGAAGUAUUUCGGUAUGUAAAUUUCUUUUAUUUGGGACGAAAAACAAAUUGACGGUACCAAAUGAAUAAGCUCCGGCUAACUACGUGCCAGCAGCGGC